ACAUGCCUACAACAUAGCGUUAAUCCACCGGAUCCCAUUAGAAAUAUGCAUUUAAGCAUACUCGGUCUAGAGUAGUACUGGGAUGGGUGACCACUCGAGAAUUUAUAGUAUUUUACAUGCC
rnacentral:rRNA from 1 species